GCCGAUAAAUAACCAUUACGAUUUGGAAUUUAUUUGAAGAUAAAUACAUAAUCUCAAUUAUAAGUCUAUUUAAAAGUCAGAAACAAAUAAGUCUAUUUAAAAGUCAAAAACACCUAUAUAAUAAAUAUCACUUAACCUUACACCAAUCUAACUCGAUACAUAAUCUCACUUGUAAGUCUAUUUAAAGGUCGGAAACACCUAUACAAUAAAUAUCACUUAACCUUACACCAAUCUAACUCGAUACGAAAGAGAUAAUCAUUUGUCUCUACAGUCUUGAAACCUUCACCAAUCUUGAUCAUUUUAACAUAUGAGAACUUUCGCUCGGAGAAGCGCGAUGAAUAAUCAUGACGACUAUAUUUAGUUACAAGGCUACCCCAAACCUUAGGAUUAACAUCGGAACUCCCUAUUUUGAACUUUAAUAACACCUUAAUGGUAACACAAACUGCAUAUCCGAGAGCCAUCUGAUAUAAGCAUAUUCAAACAAAAGAAAAUAAUAUUAAUUAAUUUCAUAUUCAAACAACAUAUUAAUUCAGAAAUAGUAUUCUAUUCAAACACUAAAACACUUGAGGCAAGUUAAACCAACAGUCCUUGAUCAAGGCUCAAGAUAAAUUAACUAAUUUGUUAUAUUUCCUCAAAACCAAACACAGUGUAAAAGUUGGAUCAAGUACUUAACAACCAUAAAAGUAGAGGAAAAUAUAUAACAAAAUAAGAAGAAAAAAAAAGAGUAAAUAAAAAAAUUGGUCUCACAUUUUUCCAAUUCCACCCAUGUCCCAAUGGUGCUCCACAAAUAUUUCGUUGAGCCUCCACGGUCAUAGAACACCUUGCCUCCUAGUUGAAGCUUGAAAGAUGUUGUAUUCUCCGCCUCAUCAAGAGGCUUCUCCAUACUAAAUCAAUGUUGUCAGUCUCCUACUACACUUAUAUAAGAUUUUUAAGAAAUGGUGAUGUUGAGGGGUGAAAAUAAAUGAUUUGUGUUAGUGAUUUUUAGUGAUUCGGAGAGGAUGAUGAGAAUAGAGAGGUAGUGAUGAUGAACGAACGUGGAACUUAAAGAAGUAUGUGGGUCGGGUGGACAACGGGCAAGGUCGGUCGGAUUCGGGCCCAAAACUCCGAACCGGCUCAAACCACGGGUGUUAUACUUAGACCCAUUGGGACCCUUUUUUCUACUUCGGUUUUACGGGUAGCGGGUUUGUCGGUAAACGGGUUUUUCGGUCCGGGUUUUACGGGUCUAAAUCUCACAUAAUGAAAAAUCUAAAUCGAGAAAAAUAGAUAUGAAAAGAAAAUCCGGCAGCCACCUUCACAUAUACCCAGAUCUGAAAAACAGAAGUGUCACAAGGAAAGUGUUAGCGCUCUAUAAGUAAAAAAGAGUGAAGAAGAGAGAAAGAUUGUUCUUUGAUUUGAGAGAACAAAUGAUGAUGAAGAGUUUGUGAUUUUGGUCCGCAAAAAUCAAAUGGCAAAGUGAGAGAACAACAAAUUGGUAAACAUAAGAAAGAGAGAAGACAUUAAGUUUAUACUACUCUUUAAAUUGAAAAAGUUGGUAGUGAAUUUCUUUCACGUCUUUGGAAAUUACUAAGUAUGGACACUAGAGUUGAAAAUUUUUAAUGCCUUGCUUGGUUAUUGUUUUUGUGAGUUCCAAGACUAAUG
rnacentral:lncRNA from 1 species